rfam:Salmo salar isolate Sally breed double haploid chromosome ssa25, whole genome shotgun sequence.
ACAAAGGUUCUUUUAAGAACCAUCCACCGUUGUCCAUAAAAUAAAU